GUCUCCAUUCACGGCUUAACCUGCCAAAAGAGUAUAUCAUGACCCCAGUUUUAAUUACAAGGUACGAUAAUGAGUUUCAUCCAGAAAUAGCCGGUCUAAUUAAAUCUCUAACUGCAGUUUCCAUUCAGCCUUGGUGUUACGACCUGAGGGGAAAGGAAAAUACUUGAAAGGACUAGCAUUGUAAUACCAGCAUCUACUUCUCAGACUUCUUAACCACAAACAAAGAGUGAGCGGAGCAACAACUUGAGGCUGCAUGGGAGAAUGGAGAUCCUUUGCGGCUCAUAAAGUCCCUUCUACAAAUCAAUGAUAUUCGAUGUGAGACUUUAAUGUUGUAUACAGCCUUUACCAAAAGUGUCAUGGACUUUGAAGAUGCUCAGACUCAGGACGCAAGGGAGAAACGUGCUAAGAGGAAGGCACGUUUGGCAAACCCUCAUCGUGAUUCAACUCCCGCCCAGAAACCUAUGUCCCCCACUGUGGAAGGAUGUGUGGAUCCAGAAUUGGCUUCCACAGACACUUAACGGAACACACAAAGUUAUGAAAGACUUCCCUUCUCCCCUGCAUACAAGCACAGGCAAGACUUCAUGAAAUGUGUUUGAUUUCUCAGAAUUUUAAUUCUGGUGCGUCUGAAGCAAAACAGUAAGAUAGAAACCUGGAAAAAUCAAGCUGACAAACCUUCUUUGAAAUCAAUUAUUGCAAGAACAGACCAGGGGGGUUUUGUUUGCUGUAUUGAAUAAAUCUGUUAGACACACAAAAUGGAUUAAUUCAAGUGAAAGUUCUAAUCUGUCUAGUAAAAUAAAAAUAUUUACAUAUCAAGUCUC